rnacentral:rRNA from 1 species
UACGGGGGGAGCAAGCGUUGUUCGGAUUUACUGGGCGUAAAGGGCGCGUAGGCGGCGCAACAAGUCACUUGUGAAAUCUCCGGGCUUAACCCGGAGCGGCCAAGUGAUACUGUCGUGCUAGAGUGCGGAAGGGGCUACUGGAAUUCUCGGUGUAGCGGUGAAAUGCGUAGAUAUCAGGAGGAACACCUGCGGUGUAGACGGCUUGCUGGACCAUCACUGACGCUGAGGCACGAAAGCGUGGGUAGCAAACAGG